AGGUUGAUUCCUUAGGAAGAAAAAGGUGUUUGUAUUGGAGCUUUCUCGGAAAUAGUUUUCAAAGGAGUGCUACAAAGAAGCCCCCAUGCUUCCCCCAAAACACUAACUUUAAAGAACCUAGUUGUUAUUCGGGGCACCCUUUAUUUUACGUUGUAAAACAUGUAGUUUUAAUUUACCACGUACAGCAGAGAGACAUCAGUUGGUUAGGGAAUGGAUGGUUAUUUUGGUGUCUGGGACCCUGUGCCUUUAGAAAGAAUAUGUUUUAACUGCUCUUAUCAUGCUAGCUCAGGUUUUUAAAAUGUGAUCUGAAUAAGACCAAAGUUUCUUCUUGCGUUCUUUUCAUGCUGGUUCUAAGCAGGGAGAAAAACAAGUCUGUAUGGACAGAGCAAACCUCUAACUCAAAAUCAACCUUGAGAGAUGCAUCAACAAGGACAGGGGCUCCUCAUCCACCAAUAUUUACUUGUAUCAGCCUUUAAAUCAUGUAGGUCACAUUUCUGUGAAGAAUAGCAUCAUCGAAAACCCUUGCUGACUUGUGAAGAGCAAAAAUCAUUGCAACGGAGUAGUUUGUUCAGUGCCCGCAGCAAGAACCUCCCACUCCGAUCCACCUCAAAAAGUAAUAACUGCUUCUUCUGGACUGUUUUCUAUUCUCACUACAAAUACGUAUCAUAUACCUACAUUGAGAUAGUUUAUUUUUAUUAAAAUGAGGUCAUUUUAUACAUUUGGAAAAAUAACUUAGCAACAUUUUAAAGUUUUAGGGAGUUUAAAAAUAACAUUUAAUUUUCAUGCUAAUUUAACAUUCAUUAAAUUGCAUGAAAAAGAGGGAAAAUCUAAGCACUCUAAACUAGGAUGUGGGGAGUGUUUGACCCUGGCUUAGCAAAACCUGAAUACUUUUCAUACUUAGUGACUAAAUAGAAUUGAAUAGGGCCGGGCGCAG
rnacentral:lncRNA from 10 species